AAUCUGGUUUACGAGAAUGCUCGUCGUCUAGAACACGAUUAUUAAAACGUGCCGUGCCGCCAGCUCGUAGACCCCAACGAAGGAAACCUCACAGUUCCCGGCCUUCUUGGAACUUUAAAUUAAAACCGCUCUCGUUGUUUUGCGAUCGGUAAAGGAUCCCGAUCGGCGCUCGAGGAGUUGAGAGCGUUCCGGUGUCGUUCGCAAUCGGGGGCAUAAAGUGUCCGCAUAAAGCAAAGUCGGGCGUAGACACCGGCCAACCACCAGGAAGAAUCUUAUCAAAUGGACAAACGGCGUGCGGCCCUGCAGGGUUUUAAUUCGAAUAAAUCCAAGUUGACGAGGAGGCGGCCUUUUAAAAUUCCAAUGAUAACGGACCGGAUCCACGGAGCUCGUCAACGACGUAACGUCUACCGUAUUAUUUUUCUCCAUCCUUAUCCAUAUUUUUUUAAAUCGCUCCUCUGAAUUAUUGGUAUCAAUAAGAAAAACAAUAAAAUUUUCGAUACGAUAAGAAAUUCAAAA